CCACUUCGGUUGAAAACGGAGGGGAUGACCCCAGGAUAGGGGUGAAAGGCCAAUCAAACCCGGAGAUAUCUCGUUCUCCCCGAAAUAGCUUUAGGGCUAGCGUCGCGCGUUCACCGCCGGAGGUAGAGCACCGGAUGGACGAGGGGGCUUCGCCGCCUACCGAAUCCAACCGAACUCCGAAUGCCGGCGGCCCAGAGCGCGGCAGUCAGAGCAUGUGGGCUAAGCUGUGUGCUCGAGAGGGAAACAGCCCGGACCGCCCGCUAAGGUCCCCAAGUUCCAGCCGAGUGGCAAAGGAUGUGCGUCCGCCCAGACAACCAGGAUGUUGGCUUAGAAGCAGCCAUCCAUUCAAAGAGUGCGUAACAGCUCACUGGUCGAGUGGACAUGCGCCGACAAUACACGGGGCUAAGCUGGACACCGAAGCGGCGGGAUUUUAAUUCAUUAGAAUCGGUAGGGGAGCUUCCCAUGGGCGGAGAAGCCGGAGGGCGACCGACGGUGGAGCGCAUGGGAGUGAGAAUGCUGGCAUGAGUAGCGAGAGACGAGAGAGUAACUCGUCCGCCGUGAACCCGAGGUUUCCUGGGCAAGGCUAAUCCUCCCAGGGUCAGUCGGGGGCUAAGGCGAGGCCGGGAGGCGUAGCCGACGCGCAGCAGGCAGACAUUCCUGCACCGCGCACGCGGCGCUACGACCGACGGGGCGACGGAUGGGGGUGGCUCGGCGGGGUUCUGGACGUCCCCGUGAUGGAGCGCGGCCCGCGGACCAGGGAAAUCCGGUCCGCAUUGAGGGCGAGGCUCCGGACGAAGCGAUUGAGCGAAGCGAGUGAGCCCGAGGUCCCUAGAAAAACCCCUAGGCAGGCGCGUGCGCGCCCGUACCGCAAACCGACACAGGUGGGUGGGUAGAACAUACCGAGGCGAUCGGGUCAACCAUGGUCAAGGAACUCGGCACAAUGGCCCCGUAACUUCGGGAGAAGGGGUGCCCGCGCGUACGUGAACCGGCUUGCCCGGGGAGCGGAGGCGGGCCGCAGUGGAGAGGCCCAAGCGACUGUUUACCAAAAACACAGGACUCUGCAGAAGCCGCAAGGCGACGUAUAGGGUCUGACGCCUGCCCGGUGCCGGAAGGUCACGCGGAGGAGUUAGCGCAUCGCGCGAAGCCCCGAAGCCAAGCCCCGGUAAACGGCGGCCGUAACUAUAACGGUCCUAAGGUAGCGAAAUUCCUUGUCGGGUAAGUUCCGACCUGCACGAAAGGCGCAACGACUUGGGCGCUGUCUCGACCAUGGACCCGGUGAAAUUGCACUGGUCGUGAAGAUGCGACUUACCCGCGGAAGGACGGAAAGACCCCGUGAACCUUCACUGCAGCUUGGCAUUGGCCGCUGGUCCCGCGUGUAGAGGAUAGGCAGGAGGCGAAGAUCCGGAGGCGCCAGCCCCCGGGGAGCCGCCCUUGGAAUACUGCCCUCGCGCGACCGGCGUCCUAACCCGAGGCCGUCAACCGGCUCGGGGACCGUGCCAGGCGGGCAGUUUGACUGGGGCGGUCGCCUCCUAAAGGGUAACGGAGGCGCGCGAAGGUCCGCUCGGGACGGUCGGCAACCGUCCUUUUGAAUGCAAGAGUACAAGCGGGCUUGACUGCGAGGCCCACAAGCCGAGCAGGUGCGAAAGCAGGCUCUAGUGAUCCGGCGGCCCCGAGUGGGUGGGCCGUCGCUCAACGGAUAAAAGGUACUCCGGGGAUAACAGGCUGAUCUUGCCCAAGAGUCCACAUCGACGGCAAGGUUUGGCACCUCGAUGUCGGCUCAUCGCAUCCUGGGGCUGUAGCAGGUCCCAAGGGUUGGGCUGUUCGCCCAUUAAAGCGGUACGCGAGCUGGGUUCAGAACGUCGUGAGACAGUUCGGUCCCUAUCCUCCGUGGGCGCAGGAGAAUCGAUGGAGGCUGCCCCCAGUACGAGAGGACCGGGGUGGACGCACCUCCGGUGAACCGGUUGUCGACCAACGGCACGGCCGGGUAGCCGCGUGCGGCGCGGAUAACCGCUGAAGGCAUCUAAGCGGGAAGCCGUUCCAGGGAUUAGUUCUCCUUCCGGUAAGGGCCCAGGUAGACUACCUGGUCGAUAGACGGCAGGUGCAAGGACGGCGACGUCCUCAGCCGAGCCGCACUAAUCGCCCGAGCUCUUCCGGAA
rnacentral:rRNA from 1 species